rnacentral:rRNA from 1 species
AUUGAACGCUGGCGGCAGGCCUAACACAUGCAAGUCGAACGAGUGGCGGACGGGUGAGUAAUGUCUGGGAAACUGCCUGAUGGAGGGGGAUAACUACUGGAAACGGUAGCUAAUACCGCAUACCAUCAGAAGUGCCCAGAUGGGAUUAGCUAGUAGGUGGGGUAAUGGCUCACCUAGGCGACGAUCCCUAGCUGGUCUGAGAGGAGGACCAGCCACACUGGAACUGAGACACGGUCCAGACUCCUACGGGAGGCAGCAGUGGGGAAUAUUGCACAAUUGGCGCAAGCCUGAUGCAGCCAUACCGCGUGUGUGAAGAAGGCCUUCGGGUUGUAAAGUACUUUCAGCGGGGAGGCGUUACCCGCAGAAGAGACACCGGCUAACUCCGUGCCAGCAGCCGCGGUAAUUC